rnacentral:rRNA from 1 species
AUGUCUUCCUCAAGCUCCCGCGCCACCUCGCGGAUGCAGAGCCGGGCGCGUGUGGACAUGCCUGUCUUCGUUUGUCUGCGGUGCCGGGCGGGCGUUGUUCGGAGGGUUUCUCACACACCGAGGAACCAGAAUCGUUCGUUCUACGUGUGCAGCGAGAAUGCGGUGACAUGCUUCUUUCUUUGGGUCGAUGCUCUGGCCAAGACUCUGAUGAAUGAAAUGCAAGAAGAGCAUGAAGAAUGGUUGUGCAUGCUGCCACGAAUGGCAGUGGCCGCAGCACGAGCUCCGGAAGAAGAGAUGGAGGGCGAAACACGCACUGACAGAGAGCUAGCUGUUGAGCUUAGGAUGUUGAAGAAGAAGGUUAGGAAGCUUGAAGAUCAAGCACUACCAAUAGCCAUUUGCAAUUACUUUUGGUCAUUUGUAGGUAUGGUAAUCGCACUGGUUGUAAUGUUAAAAAUGUAUGGAAAGGCAUGA